GUGUCAGUGAUGAUCUACCCAGAGAUCGGGCUGUCAGAUCAGUAUGGCGUCCCCUGGUGGAUCAUCCUCAUCGCUGUCCUGGCUGGAGUGCUUGUGCUGGCGCUGCUCGUGUGUUUACUGUGGAAGGUAUGUGUGUACCUGAACACACACACACACACACACACACACACACACACACACACACUGCACAGAUAAUGCACCGACUGGAUGUUCCUAUGUAGUGUAGCUGUUCCUGGCCAUGGCGGUGCUGGUCCAGUCCUCCACGGUCAAUAGAGUGUCUCGUCAUGACCCGUAGACUGAUUCGAGUCGUUUAGAGCUGUAAUUCUCAGAUUCUGCUCCUUCUUUCUUCGCUCUCCCUCAUGUUCCUCACACCUCACUUCCUUUCCCACUCAGGAAGUAAAUACGUGCUGUAAAUGUCUAGCGCAGCAUCAGGGUGUGACAGUAUUAGUCCUACAGGAGUGUUCUCAGAAGUGCACACAGUAGAUCAGGGUGGGCCACUUCAUACACUCGUCUCUCAUCAUCUGUUAACUCUGUUCAUCUCUGAUGCUUUAACCACACUCUGCUGUUAUUCCUUCUCCUUCCUCUUCCUCAUCAUCUUCCUCGUUAUCCUCUACCUCUUCUUCUUGCUCUUCUUCCCCCUCUCCCUCCUCCUCUCGUGUGUGUGUCUGUUCUCUGUUGCCCUCUGCUGGAUCAGUGUGGUUUCUUCAAGCGUGCGGAGCGGCAGCCGCAGUAUGAAACGGAGUAUCACUGCGCUCACCUGCAGCAGCAGCCGUCAGACGCCGAGCGGAAACACACCGAGCUGCAGUGAGGGCUCGUCACAGCACCUGCAGACGCUCACGUGUGGUUUCUUCAGAAGGGUUCGGCAUGAAGAUCAGGUUCCUCAGUAUCAGGCGGUGAAGAUCAUGCGGCGGGACGCUCCACUGCUGGACGACACACUCAUUCUGCACAAACGGCAGUGGGCGACACACUGGAGCCAGGGGUCCAUCUGAGACUGCAGACACACACACACACACACACACACACACACACACUCAUUGAAGAGGAACACACACUCAUGUGGAGAGUUGACCAGCUUUCCCUCAGGAUCUGCAGGCUGACAGGAGACGUCUGGAGUAGCGCUGCAUCUGGCUGCAGGCUGAUCCUCGGUCAGUGGAUAUUAACAGAUGCAGGGUCGUCAGGGCUGAGGGAUCACGCGUCUGCAGGAGCUUCCAGCAUCAGCUGAACACAGAAGAGGAUAUUCUGCAGAUGAACACUGGAGGUCUGCGGGUCUCCAGCAUCUCCAGAAUAUCUGCUGUAGUGUUGAUCAGAUCAAUGAAGCUGUGGAGAUUAAAUUGAUGAUGACAGAAUAAUAUCUGGGUGAAUUAACCCUUUCAGACGGUUAUUGAUGUGUAGAGGUGUGUGUGUGUGUGUGUGUGUGUGUGAACUCAUGAAGCCGCUGCAGUUCUUCUGUUCUUCAGGCUUUUGGACAUUGAGCUUUACUCGUCUGCUCUUCAUGCUCUCCUCACGGCUUCAUUGCCCUUUCGCACUGAGUUAUAUGAACAUUAGAGUGUGUUACAGUAUCCGUGAGCUGUUCCUCAGUGUUUUGCACAGGCGUCUGCCGCUCUGCUCUGAUCAUGUGCCGCUGUCUGCUUUAUUUAUUGCUGAUGUUGAUCUGAGUAUGUUGUCCUGUUCCUCCAUUGAUCGGUCCAGUUCAGCAGAUCCUCAGGACAGUAUAGUGUUGCUCAGAUGAUGAGGAGUGUGUGUUCUGUGUGCUUCUGUCAUGUGUCUUUGUACACUGAAAUCAACAAGUAAAAUGUUCAACUCUAGUUCAGUCGAUCGCCUGCUUUACAGUCUUUACCUGUUCCCUGAACAUGAAUUUGUGAAGGUGAUGAUGAUGAUGAUUGUUAUGAUUAUUAUUAUGUGUUGAGGAAGAAGUUCCUGCAUCUGUUCUCCUUCACUACAGCUUUGGCUGUUUACUCUCUGCUGUCCUUCCAGAUCUGUCAGUUCCUGUUUUGUCCGCUAGAUGUCGCCGUCUCAGUUCAGUUCAGUUCAGUCAGAGGUGAACACACACACACACACACACGAAGAAAACAUCUGUGUUUUUCUGAAAGCUGCAGGACUGAUUGGAAGCAGGUGAGCUGAUCACAGCAGCUCCUGGAGAAUGUGUGUGUGUCUUUCCCAAACUCCUGCCAGAGAGAAGCUGAUCCAGAACUGAUGAACUCUCUCUCUGUCUCUCUCUCUCUCUCUGUCUCUCUCCCUCUCUCUGUCUCUCUCUCUCUCUCUCUCUCUCUCUCUCUCUCUCUCUCUCUCUCUCUCUCUCUCAUUAUAGCUGCAUUGUCGUUAUAUCACAGCGCACUGAUUGAUUAUACUGAUAUAUGGACAUAUUGAGCUAAGCAGACAGUAAAUCUAGAGCAAUGAUAUAAUCGAUUAUUAAACAAUAUAAUAUAGAAUGUAUAUGAAAUAUUGAACUGGUUUGAGAUAACAGUAAUUAUUGUAGUGUAAGUGUUCCCACACUGAUCCUCAUCUCUACAGGUUUCCUCUGGAUUCAGUGGUGACCGUGUGGUGAGUGGAGUAAAC
rnacentral:lncRNA from 1 species